UAAAGUUGCAAGUUAUCCCUGUCCCUGUCUGUUCUCUCCCUGUCUCUUGAUAUAGAAAUCUCUUUAUCUCUCCUUGCAUCUCUGACACACAAGAAACAACCACAGUGUAAUAUUAGUAUGUAUUAGUAGUAAUAUUGUUCUUUGUUUUAGAGCCAUUGAAGUAGCGUCUGGCGGGUCCAUACUCAAACCACCCUCAUGAACUGCUAGUCAACAAGUUCCAUCGUCUUACCUGCAGACAAGAAGACAAAGUCCGGGUAAUGAGCUAUUUAUUUCUUAGAGUGCAGACAGGUGAGGAUGGAGGACUAUGCACCGGAUCAAGACCCUGUCAUGGCCAGCCCAAUCUCCAGACCUGUACUCCAUUGAAAACCUCUGGAAUGUGAUCAAGAGGAAGAUGGAUGGCCACAAGCCAUCAAACAAUG